AGGUAUUGCGGGGAGGGGAAAGGCCCGGAUGUUCCCUAACAAUGAAAUCAUCGCCGACCUAUCAGAGCCGCCGAGCUGGGAUACCUGCCUGACCUGUCCCCCGGAGGGAGAAGAGUGGGCGGGAAAUUGGGGUGUCGGAAGAGCCUGGAAAGCAACUCAACAUUGGUUUUUAAAACUCCCGGCCUAGUCUCUUCACAUGGACUCGUUCAUUUCGCAGUUAUUGAGCACCUGCUGUUUGCCAGGUUUACCAAGAAAGGCUUCACAAAGUCACAGGAUGAGUCAAGAAUGAAUGAUACGGGUUUGACAGGCUAAUGGGGAAAGUGGACAUGACUCCUCCAGGUAUCAAAUUAGACGAUGCUGCCACGUUAAUUCUCCAAACGAGAAACAGAAGUGUAAUAGAGAUCUUAUUAACUGUGUUUUCCUCUUCGAGAACAUGCAUCGUCAAUAACGUCAUCGUGAAGCAGUGUGGAUCAUUUCUGCAAUUAAGGCUAUGGCCCGCUGGCUGGCUUGCACAGGUCAAAUUAACAGAAAGCAAUGCUUUUUAAGAGACGCCGCCUAGAACCUUCUCAGCAAUCUGCUUGUAAAAACGACAUCGGAUCGGGAGUUGUUAUGAUGAAUAUUACAUGCUCGGGCUAUUAGCACCCCAA